GUUUCGAUCUGUGAUAGAAGACCCUAACAAGGUGAUAGAAGACCCUAACAAGGUGAUAGAAGACCCUAACAAGGUCUUCUAUCACCGGUCAACUUCGCAUUAACGAAUUAUUUACAUAUUAACGAUUCAAUGAUACUAUUCAAUGAUACUAAGGAAAAAAUAAUACAAAUGUCGCCAAAAAUAACUAAGGAAAUAAAUAAAUAAAUAUACUUUUACAAACUUACCAGAAAUAUAGUCUGGAUCGGUGCGAAGCGUAUUCGCCCAGUAUCAACAACCCUCGAUGUGAAGAACGGCAGAAAGUUAGACGCCUACAUGCCAUGCAUACGACGCGUAAACGCUCUAAUGGACACUACGACAGCGUGUGAUAUGGAAUAAGUACAAUUGUUCAGCAGACUGCGUGACGCUAUACACCGUGGGCGUGGCAAAAUCAAGUUGUUAAUAAAGCAAUCUAUCAUAAUACAAAAAAGUGUAUCGUUCUAUAUUCAAGAUGUUAUGAUAUAGAAAUAAUAUCACAAGAAUAAUGAAAAAGUCACAUACAACACGAGCUUACACGAGCACCUACCUACAUUGUAAUUUCGCGUAGAUUACAUACGAAAUGAAACCCAGAGCCACAUGGAAGAAAUCAUUGGCGAUGACAAUUACGAAUAGAUUUUAAUCCUCGUGACACGACGGUAGCAGAAAAUUUUACCUCUUCUUUGAAGCAGUUUUGUAGGCUGCUUGAAGGUAUAGUGCAGCCAUUGGAGCUCAAGCUGCCGCGUAACCUGUUCUCAUUUUUAUCGUCAGCAUCAGGUUUCAGCGCAGGUGAGCUGCGAAGGUGCUGAGCCAAGUCCAGCGAACCAGCUCAUGGUUCUCGAGCAUUUCCUUCUCCCUCGUCAUAGAAACGCAUUGACCUUCAGGACAAAAUGCCGACGAUCAAUGCAAACGUUGCACCGUAUUAUCGUUAUUUGAGAAUAUAAUCAGAAUUAUACGAUUGCCUAACAACUAUUAAACUAAUUACGACAGCGUUUUACCCUUCGUGAAAUUUAAAGCCAUGCUCAGGAACAGUCUGCUUCUCCAAUCCAAUAAAAAAAAAACUUGAUGGAUACUAAGAAAAAAGAAAAGAAUUCCCAAAUAUAUAUAAUUAAUAUUCUUAACUUAAUUUAAUAAUUGAAUGUCCAAACAAAAGAAAUAAUUUAAAAAGAAAUUUUCAGCCUUUGAUAAUUCGUAUAUCAUAUAUUUCUUUAUUAUAUAUUAAAAAGAAAUUUUUAUUUCAAGGAACUUGUUGUAUUUCAGUACAUUUGGGGAAAAUUUUUAGCUUGACAAAGGACGUGCAAUUGGAUCGUAUAUAAUUAUUAAUGGACAAAACACGCAGAAAUGUUUUACUGUCAUUUCUAUAGGAUUUUAUUAACAUUGUUACUUCAAUAGCAUUAAUUACAGAUACCAAUUUGCAAUGAUCAAUACUAACUAAAAGAGAAAAAUGUUUUAAAAAAAAAGGAAAUGAGAUUACGAGUAUAUAUAUAAUUUCGAUUUUUAGAAAAGUAUGACAAUGAGCGGCUGCAUUAUUUAAAUACAAUUCUAUCACUUUAACGAAUGUAAUGUAUAUGACGACCAAUCGUUCAAACAAAAGGAUAAAAAUGAUUCCUAUGAGAAAUGAUUUAUUCGAUAAAUGAAUAACGUUAAAACAAGCUGUAUUGAACAAUGCGAGCUUGUGUAUAUGAUUUACAUACAUAAUAAUUAUAUAUUAUUUUAGACUUCGCAAAGAUUAAUAAAGUAUUUCGCAAUGCAGUACGCUCAAGUCAAGUGCGAUCGAAGUAUAAAAUCUUAAAACAACCCUAAUCGGGUGCCCAGCAAUGUGUUUCAGACUAUGCAUUCUACACAAUCUCAUAAGAAAUAAUGUUAUUUCGGCUGGUAUUAUAUCUUUAUGCGCUAAAUAAAACAAUAAUUUCAUUAUUUACUCCGAAAUAAACGAUACUCAUCUUUCUUCUCUUUCUUCUCUUUCCUGUGUUAUAAUAAUUUUGUAAUGAACUACGUGUUAUUUAUUUAUCAAACAACUAAUCAACUAAUUCACUUUGUGACUACAUUUUGUGAUACAUAUGACAUAUGACUAACGAUCGAUUCAAGGGAUCUUGUAAUCUCUAUCAUUGUUAUCUCCUCCCUCCCAUCUCUUUAACCUAUCUUCUCCCGUAAGUACAUUAGAUACGACCGAACAGAACAUCGAGUAUAUUAUUUCUAAUAUUUCACUUACACGCUAAUAUGUACAGUUAUGAAUACCGCACCGUGAUUCGCGUGAUACCCAAAGAAAAAAAAAAAAGACCAUUGAGUACCAUUCUACCAGCACGAUGCAAUUAUGAAAGACGAAAGUGCUGUUCAAAACCGGUCGAUUGCUUGACGCGUAUUGAGAGACAGAGUAGGACAAUAAAAAAUAGUAAAAGAAAUGAGCGAGAGAAAGAGAGAAAGAGAGAAACACACGAUGGAAAACGAGAAUGAAAGUAGAAGAAAGAGGGGACACGUAUGCGUUCGAAAUAUGCUGUACAAAAGUUAUUUUUUAUCCAGUUUUAUAUACGACCAAAUCUAUUUUUCGUCGAGCACCGAUGAUCAUUUUGUUAUUCUAUAUAUGUAUAUGUUGUUUUUACUAAGUUUACUAUAAAAUUCGCUCUUUGAAAUAUUCGCCGUCUAUAAAACUGGAUA